AACGAACGCUGGCGGCAUGCCUAACACAUGCAAGUCGAACGAGACCUUCGGGUCUAGUGGCGCACGGGUGCGUAACGCGUGGGAACCUGCCCUUAGGUUCGGAAUAACUCCCCGAAAGGGGUGCUAAUACCGGAUAAUGUCUUCGGACCAAAGAUUUAUCGCCUUUGGAUGGGCCCGCGUUGAAUUAGCUUGUUGGUAGGGUAAAAGCCUACCAAGGCGACGAUCCAUAGCUUGGCUGUGAGAAUGAUCAGCCACACUGGGACUGAGACACGGCCCAGACUCUUACGGGAGGCAGCAGUGGGGAAUAUUGGACAAUGGGCGAAAGCCUGAUCCAGCAAUGCCGCGUGAGUGAUGAAGGCCUUAGGGUUGUAAAGCUCUUUUACCCGGGAUGAUAAUGACAGUACCGGGAGAAUAAGCUCCGGCUAACUCCGUG
rnacentral:rRNA from 1 species